UUCCGGUUGAUCCUGCCGGAAGCUACUGCUAUUGGGAUUCGAUUAAGCCAUGCAAGUCGAAUGAAUUUAUAUUCAUGGCAUACGGCUCAGUAACACGUGGAUAACUUAUCCUUAGGACUGGGAUAACUUUGGGAAACUGAAGAUAAUACCGGAUAUUAAGCUAUGCCUGGAAUGGUUUGCUUAUGAAAAGUUCUUCUAAGUUCGCCUAAGGAUAGAUCUGCGGCUGAUUAGGUCGUUGGUGGGGUAAAGGCCCACCAAGCCGAUGAUCGGUACGGGUUGUGAGAGCAAGAGCCCGGAGAUGGAACCUGAGACAAGGUUCCAGACCCUACGGGGUGCAGCAGGCGCGAAACCUCCACAAUGUACGAAAGUGCGAUGGGGGGAUCCCAAGUGCUAUUCUAUAAAGAAUAGCUUUUAAUUAGUGUAAAAAGCGUUUAGAAUAAGAGCUGGGCAAGACCGGUGCCAGCCGCCGCGGUAAUACCGGCAGCUCAAGUGGUAUCUGUUUUUAUUAGGCCUAAAGCGUUCGUAGCCGGUUUAAUAAGUCUUUGGUGAAAGCUUGUAGCUUAACUAUAAGAAUUGCUGGAGAUACUAUUAGACUUGAAGUCGGGAGAGGUUAGAGGUACUACCGGGGUAGGGGUGAAAUCCUAUAAUCCUGGGAGGACCACCUGCGGCGAAAGCGUCUAACUAGAACGAUCUUGACGGUGAGUAACGAAAGCCAGGGGCGCGAACCGGAUUAGAUACCCGGGUAGUCCUGGCCGUAAACGAUGUGGACUUGGUGUUGGAAUGGCUUCGAGUUGUUCCAGUGCCGAAGGGAAGCUGUUAAGUCCACCGCCUGGGAAGUACGGUCGCAAGACUGAAACUUAAAGGAAUUGGCGGG
rnacentral:rRNA from 1 species